rnacentral:rRNA from 1 species
GACAGAGGGUGCAAACGUUGUUCGGAAUUACUGGGCGUAAAGCGCGUGUAGGCGGCUAUGCAAGUCGGAUGUGAAAGCCCUCGGCUCAACCGGGGAAGUGCACCCGAAACUGCAAAGCUAGAGUCUCGGAGAGGAUCGUGGAAUUCUCGGUGUAGAGGUGAAAUUCGUAGAUAUCGAGAGGAACACCGGUGGCGAAGGCGGCGAUCUGGACGAUGA